AGCAGAUCUAAUUUGUAACAUGGUUACGGUGAAUUUUAUUACGGGAAAGACAAAGAUUGUCUAGUGACCAUAGUUAUAAUCGUUAGUUACACUAUAGAAUACUCGUAGAGAAAAUGGAAACAAUGUUUAAACAGAGAAGAGGUUCGCUUCGUUGAGACAGUUCAGUUGGAAACACACGAGAUAGUGAAAAGGAUCGUCGAAGUGUAUUGUCGAGUCGAAUCUUGAAUGUUGUAUCUUGAACACAGCCGACUUUGAGUUGUCGAUAAAUUCGACUUUUGGAAAGAGAGAGAAAGAAAGAGAAAUAGAGAGAGAGAGAGAGAGAGAGAGAGAGAGAGAGAAAGAGAGGAGAGAGAAGAAAACCAAAGAAAGAAAGAGUGCUAUGCCAAAAUUAGAUCAAGCUAUUUCACCUUGAACGAUCUUUCUGUUUUUAGAACUAAAGUAAAACAUCUUCAUGUGUAUUACAUCGUAAAAUUAUACGAUCAGAUAAUCUAAGAGGAAAACGAUAAGUUAAAAUCUUAUCGUUAUCCGAUAUUUAUACUUUCAAUUCGAUAAAGUUUUGCGUCGUUCGAGAGCGGUCAUUCGAGAUCAAUGUUUCAAAGAAAUAAGUACGAUUCGAUCGAACCGAAUUAAACGCGACUAACGUCGAUUGUUAUAUCUCAUUUUGGGUGAAGUCGAUAACGUUUGAUAAGAGGACGUUAUCGGUAUUAAGGAAGAGAGGAAAAGGGAAAGAAGAGGAAGACAAGAAUUACAUCCAAGUUAUCGUUGUUGAAAAAGAUAUCGGUGACCUUGCGUUUGAUAAAAGAAAGGAAAUUUGUUUUUGUUGGAAAAACCAAUCAAUUGUGGGAUUAUUAAAAUGGCAGAAAAUUCAUUGUCCGAGUUGAACGAGAAAAUGCCUUUGGAAGAAGAAGCCAAGGAGGAACUUAAAGUUGAAGAUGGAGAAGCCAUAGAGGAGUGUAACGCAAAGGAAUCUUGCGAAGAGGAUAACAAGGAUGAAAUUAAAAAGCGUACAAAAAGAAACAUUAUUAAAGCACCAUUAUUUGAGGUUAAAGAUGAUAAAACUCAAUAUCGUCGCGAUGCGAAUGGAUGCUUGAGACCAGUCUAUUUUUAAUCGUGUAUUUUUAUAUUAAAUGCAGAAAAGAUAAGAGAUAAUAAAUUAAAUAAUAAAAUACUAAGAUUAAAUUAUAUUUAUCGAUAAAAAAUAUUUUAACAUCAUUUAAAUAUUAUUCUUACGAUUAAUUUUUCUAUAUUUCUAAAGAAAUGGAAAUCUAUGCAGUGAAAAGUAAUAUAAUUCUUGAAGAAUAUUUGCUACUAGAUGAGCAUAUUGGUCAGUUCGAAUAAUAAUAAUAAUAAUAGAAUAGUAUUAAAAUAAUGAACAAUAGACACAUAUACAAAUAAAAUUUUAUAUACUAUAUUUGCUUAGUGAUUAUUUUUAUUUUAAUAAAGGCAUCAAUAAUAAAAUAUUAAUAAUAUAAGAAUAUAACUGAAGUAACGUACAAUAUAAACAGAUAAUGAAAUAUCUCAAAUUAAACGCUAUAUAAUACUCAUAUAAAACGUACAGAUUAAUGUUUAAUAUUAUGACUAAUUAUAAUGAUGGUAAUAGUUCGUAAUAAUAACAUGAGAAAGAGAUGGAGUGGAAUUUAAGUACUUUAUAGAAUAUAAUCCCUGAUGUUCGUUAAUAUCGCAAUUCAAAUAUUUUUAAUGAGAUACAAACCUCAGUUAUUUCUAAAUUCCAAAAAUAUAUUUAUAAAACUGAUAACACAGUUGAUCCCUUUCAUAAUUUACGAUCGUUAUAAGCGUACUAGUAUCCAAAAAAAUAUAAAUUUAUAUGAAGAUAUACAUAGAUUCUGUUACUACUACUGAUUAAUUGAGAUAUAAUUAUGAUGAGAGCACGAUCGUAAAAUCAUACAAUUGAUGUUAUAUGAGCACGACGAUAUGGCUUCCAUUUUCAACGAUAUCAUUUAAACGAUAAGUCAAGUUUGUUAGUUAUAAUAAUAACAUCAUCGAAAGAAAAAUAAUGUAGAAAUUAUAAGAGAAUCAACUAUUAGAUUUAGAUACGAUAAUCGUUGUCAUAAUUAAAAAGAAAUUUUACCAAAGAUUUAUAUACAUAUUAAAUAAAUAAAUUUAAUAUCUUGUCACAAGUUUAUAAAUAAUUUGAAAGUUCGAAGAUUAGAUUUUUAAUCGAGCAAAAUUCCAUUUCUCGGAUAAAAAUCAUUGUAUUUAUCGAAAAUAUAAUAAUAUUAUACAUCGCAAAAAAUAAUUAAAACAAAUCGACAUAAUCUAAUUUGAUCUUUAUAGAUACGAAUCGAUAACGAGAUAAACAAAAGACUCGAAAACAUUUUAUAAUGUAACAUUUGUUCGACAUAUUCCUUGUGUCUCGACAGACAUGCUUUGUUAAGUCUUUUCAAAAACACAUCUUGAGAACGUAUGCAAAUGCAUAUAAACGAUAUUAUGAAUGCUGAAGAUAGCAUCAAAAAUGUUUAGAAAUAAAAUUGCGAAUUGUUUUAUCUUUCUAAUAUCCAAUUGAAUUGUUUGAAUUGAGUAUUAUUUUUUUUUUCUUUUUUUUUUUUAAAUCGAAUUGUACACUUACGAACAUAAAUCUCUGUUACUUUCUCUUUUUCUUUUCUUACUUAUUACUCUUGCAUUUUUUUUUUCUUUUUCUUUUUUCUUUUAUUUUUCAUAAAAUUCAAGCGACCUUAUUCUCACCGAUAACACGGGGUAUACAUACGUAUGUCAGAUAUACAUACUAUAUCCCUGUAUAUAUUGUAAUAGUAUGUAUAUAUGAAAUACGUAUGAGUGUAUAAUUCAAGGGCGAAUUUUGCUAUGUCUUUCCGAGAAAACUUUUCACUCGCAAAGCAAUGAUAAAGAUGACGUCACAUGAGCAUACAGUCGGCAGUAGAUUAUAAAUAUGAACGUUGAACGCUUCUAGAAACAGAUAUGUUGGUAGAUACUCCGGCGGGAACAUCUUUGCUUUUUUAUUAGGAAUUCUUGCGUAAUCAAAAAUAUCGAUAAUAAGAAGUUCAAGAAAACAAAAAAAAUAUAUAUAUAUAUAUAUAUAUAGAGAGAGAGAGAGAGAGAGAGAGAGAGAGUGAGAGAGAGAGAGAGAGAGAGAGGGAGAUAGAAAGAGAGAGAAAUAAAGUGAAGACAAAGAAAAGACGUAUACGAGCAUUCGUAUAAAAGCUAUUCGAUAAUUCAAAGUUGGUGCUAUUCGGAGAAAGAAGAACCGAAUCAUCGUAAUCACUCAAGAAAGAGUAGAAAUCUAUUUUCGUUUUUCUUUCGAAAGAUUAAACUUUCACUUUUUUCCUUUCUUUCCUUCAAAAAAAAAACCUUCCUAUCCUUUUUCCCCAAUUUUAUUUUCCCACGCAUACCUGUUUCCUUUACAAAUAUGAAAUACUUUCCACUGAUUGCAACCACCAUGAUUUUUCUUCUUUUUUUCACGAAUCUCGUUGAUCCCGUGCUCUCUCAGACUGAUGAAUCUUCCAAUAUAAAAUCUUCAAAUAAUAAGACGAAACCGAAAGAAAAUACUUUCAACAUCAUAACGGCGCCUGGAAAGCGAUGUCCAAAUGGUCAACGACAGGACUCAAAUGGUAUUUGCAGAACCUUCGUUCCGAUCUAACUAUUGUUGUUUGUUUCUAUUUUAUUUUUGUUUUCUCAUGAUAUUUCAAUCAAGGAAUAAUAAGUAAUCCCCAUCGAAUAA